rnacentral:piRNA from 1 species
UUGGACUGGUGUAGGGAUUUCCUAGUGC